rnacentral:lncRNA from 1 species
CACACCCAAAUAGAUUUGUGUUUAGGUAUCAGAAAGGGGAUAAAGCCUUAUUUCCCUGUUGUACGCAAUCCCAACAAUGUGAUAGAGUCUAGCUGGGUGCUUUUAUAUAGAAGCAUCCGCGGAAUCCUCUAUGCUCACAAAUUAUUUUCAAUAAUUAAUAAGACAUUCGAAUCAAAAAUCGACUUUGUAGGACUUGAUUUAGAGUAUUUUCAGUAUCUAAAAAUAAAUUUUUAAUUUUAUAAUAUUGUUUAUCUGACACUCAUGCUCACGUGCAUAAUAAAAAUCAAGUAAACCAUGUCAGACAGCUCAAGAGUAAUCUUAACACCCAGCUCACUCACAUGCAUAGUGAU